UACGAAGGGGGCUAGCGUUGCUCGGAAUCACUGGGCGUAAAGGGUGCGUAGGCGGGGCUUUAGGUCAGGGGUGAAAUCCUGGAGCUCAACUCCAGAACUGCCUUUGAUACUGAGGAUCUUGAGUUCGGGAGAGGUGAGUGGAACUGCGAGUGUAGAGGUGAAAUUCGUAGAUAUUCGCAAGAACACCAGUGGCGAAGGCGGCUCACUGGCCCGUUACUGACGCUGAGGCACGAAAGCGUGGGGAGCAAACAGG
rnacentral:rRNA from 1 species